rnacentral:rRNA from 1 species
GAUGAACGCUGGCGGCGUGCCUAAUACAUGCAAGUCGAGCGAACGGACGAGAAGCUUGCUUCCCUGAUGUUAGCGGCGGACGGGUGAGUAACACGUGGAUAACCUACCUAUAAGACUGGGAUAACUUCGGGAAACCGGAGCUAAUACCGGAUAAUAUUUUGAACCGCAUGGUUCAAAAAUGAAAGACGGUCUUGCUGUCACUUAUAGAUGGAUCCGCGUUUCAUUAGUUAGUUGGUAAGGUAACGGCUUACCAAGGCAACGAUGCAUAGCCGACCUGAGAGGGUGAUCGGCCACACUGGAACUGAGACACGGUCCAGACUCCUACGGGAGGCAGCAGUAGGGAAUCUUCCGCAAUGGGCGAAAGCCUGACGGAGCAACGCCGCGUGAGUGAUGAAGGUCUUCGGAUCGUAAAACUCUGUUAUUAGGGAAGAACAUAUGUGUAAGUAACUGUGCACAUCUUGACGGUACCUAAUCAGAAAGCCACGGCUAACUACGUG